AUGUUGGAUGGAGAGAUGGGAUGCUCCGUUGAGCUCUUAGAUCUCUGCAGCACCAUGCAAGAGACCUUCGCCGAGAUGGUGGUCAUCAUCCAAGAGCUGCAACUGGCUCUAAGAAAAGGAGAUGAUGCGGCUGCUCAAGCCAAGAUCAAGUCUUUUACUUGCUUGACGAAGAAGGCCAGGAAACACUUCAAGAAAACUGCCAAGAAGGCUGCAUCCGACAAGAUGGUCAUGCUAUUGACCAACACAAGAGAGAUAUGCAUCUCUCUGCUGGAGUCCACACUCCAUCUCUUGUCGAAGCAAAUUGAAAUGCCAAAGCAGUCCCUUGUCUGCAAGACAUUUUACAAGAAGAAGGCCGUUGUUUGCGAGGAGGGACAAUUGCAGGAGUUAGAGUGCAGCAUCGGAGAUCUUCAGGAUGGAGCAGGAAUUCUGUUCAGGAAAUUAGUCCAGAACAGAGUUUCUCUAUUAAACAUUCUUAGCUCAUAA
rnacentral:rRNA from 1 species